AUGGGGUUUAGUGCAUAUCAACAGAUAUCGGCGGCAAUGCGGGUACUCUCUUAUGGCAUACCCGCGGAUUAUACAUCUCAGGACACAUGGAUUUGGCAUGCAUUCUUUGGGUUGCCGGGAACACUCAAUGAUAUCAAUAUCCUCAAUAGAUCUCCUUUGUUCAAAAGAUUAAUUUCUGGGGAUGCUCCACAAUGCAACUACAAAAUCAUGGACAAUGAGUACUCAAUGGGAUACUAUCUCACCGAUGGCAUCUAUCCCGAAUGGGCAACUCUUGUGAAGUCCAUCAAGGAGAAAAAUGGGGUGCCCUUAACAAGAAAAUAG
rnacentral:rRNA from 1 species